GACGAACGCUGGCGGCGUGCUUAACACAUGCAAGUCGAACGAUGAAGCCAGCUUGCUGGUGGAUUAGUGGCGAACGGGUGAGUAACACGUGGGUGAUCUGCCCCAAACUUUGGGAUAAGCCUGGGAAACUGGGUCUAAUACCGAAUAUGACCGAUACUCGCAUGGGUGUUGGUGGAAAGCUCCGGCGGUUUGGGAUGGGCCCGCGGCCUAUCAGCUUGUUGGUGGGGUAAUGGCCUACCAAGGCGACGACGGGUAGCCGGCCUGAGAGGGCGACCGGCCACACUGGGACUGAGACACGGCGCAGACUCCUACGGGAGGCAGCAGUGGAGAAUAUUGCACAAUGGGCGCAAGCCUGAUGCAGCGACGCCGCGUGAGGGAUGACGGCCUUCGGGUUGUAAACCUCUUUCACCAGGGACGAAGCGAAAGUGACGGUACCUGGAGAAGAAGCACCGGCCAACUACGUG
rnacentral:rRNA from 1 species